AGAGAGAGAGAGAUGUCUUUGGGUUGGUGGCAGAGAGAAAGAGAGAGAGAGAGAGGGGCAUGCUUUGGGUUGGUGGCAAAUGGUCAGGGUCAUGAGUGAUGAAAUUUUCUUUGUUCCUUUUUUUGGUCUGUUGUGAAUUUAUUAAAUGCUGGAAAUAUUUGUGUUCAUUGUGCAGAUAGGAAACAGAUAUUUAAUGUGUUCCACUUCCAAAACAGUGGGUAUCUUUGACCACUCGACUCAAGAGCAAGAGUCCUUUCUCAGCAGAAUGUGAAGUUUUUUUCAGUUUUUCAUGUAUGUAUUCUCAGGCCUUCAGGAUCACUCACUUGUUCAUAUAUCUGUAAUUUCUUAGAUAAGAUUUUCUCAUUAACCAGGUUUUCCUUGGGCAUUUUAAGCUUUUGUUUUUUUAAUGGGAAAUUUAUCAAAAUGCACCUAAGAAAAAUUAUU
rnacentral:lncRNA from 1 species